rnacentral:tRNA from 1 species
GGUUUCGUGGUGUAGUUGGUUAUCACGUGAGUCUAACAAUCGUUAGAUGCACUCAAGGUCCCCGGUUCGAGCCCGGGCGAAAUCA